AUACGGAGGAUCCGAGCGUUAUCCGGAUUUAUUGGGUUUAAAGGGUGCUCAGGCGGGCGAUUAAGUCGGCGGUGAAAUUUUGCGGCUCAACCGUAAAAGUGCCUUCGAAACUGGUCACCUUGAGUGCGGAUGAGGUAGGCGGAAUUUGUGGUGUAGCGGUGAAAUGCAUAGAUAUCACGAGGAACUCCGAUUGCGCAGGCAGCUUACUAAACCGUAACUGACGCUGAUGCUCGAAAGUGUGGGUAUC
rnacentral:rRNA from 1 species